AGUGAACGCUGGCGGUAGGCCUAACACAUGCCAGUCGAACGGCAGCACAGUAAGAGCUUGCUCUUACGGGUGGCGAGUGGCGGACGGGUGAGGAAUACAUCGGAAUCUACUUUUUCGUGGGGGAUAACGUAGGGAAACUUACGCUAAUACCGCAUACGACCUACGGGUGAAAGCAGGGGAUCUUCGGACCUUGCGCGAUUGAAUGAGCCGAUGUCGGAUUAGCUAGUUGGCGGGGUAAAGGCCCACCAAGGCGACGAUCCGUAGCUGGUCUGAGAGGAUGAUCAGCCACACUGGAACUGAGACACGGUCCAGACUCCUACGGGAGGCAGCAGUGGGGAAUAUUGGACAAUGGGCGCAAGCCUGAUCCAGCCAUUCCGCGUGGGUGAAGAAGGCCUUCGGGUUGUAAAGCCCUUUUGUUGGGAAAGAAAAGCAGCAGGUUAAUACCCCGCUGUUCUGACGGUACCCAAAGAAUAAGCACCGGCUAACUUCGCG
rnacentral:rRNA from 1 species